ACGGUACCGUAAGAAGAAGCACCGGCUAACUACGUGCCAGCAGCCGCGGUAAUACGUAGGGUGCGAGCGUUAAUCGGAAUUACUGGGCGUAAAGCGUGCGCAGGCGGUGAUGUAAGACAGAUGUGAAAUCCCCGGGCUCAACCUGGGAACUGCGUUUGUGACUGCAUCACUCGAGUACGGCAGAGGGAGGUGGAAUUCCGCGUGUAGCAGUGAAAUGCGUAGAUAUGCGGAGGAACACCGAUGGCGAAGGCAGCCUCCUGGGCCAGUACUGACGCUCAUGCACGAAAGCGUGGGGAGCAAACAGGAUUAGAUACCCUGGUAGUCCACGCCCUAAACGAUGUCAACUAGUUGUUCGGUGAGGAGACUCAUUGAGUAACGCAGCUAACGCGUGAAGUUGACCGCCUGGGGAGUACGGCCGCAAGGUUAAAACUCAAAGGAAUUGACGGGGACCCGCACAAGCGGUGGAUGAUGUGGAUUAAUUCGAUGCAACGCGAAAAACCUUACCUACCCUUGACAUGCCAGGAACUUGCCAGAGAUGGCUUGGUGCUCGAAAG
rnacentral:rRNA from 1 species